rnacentral:rRNA from 1 species
GACGAACGCUGGCGGCGUGCUUAACACAUGCAAGUCGAACGGUGAAGCGCCUUCCUUUUUGGUGGGUGUGGAUGAGUGGCGAACGGGUGAGUAACACGUGAGUAACCUGCCCCCUUCUUCUGGAUAACCGCAUGAAAGUGUGGCUAAUACGGGAUAUUCUGGGUCUGUCGCAUGAUGGGUCUGGGAAAGAUAUUGUUUCGGUGGGGGAUGGGCUCGCGGCCUAUCAGCUUGUUGGUGGGGUGAUGGCCUACCAAGGCGGUGACGGGUAGCCGGCCUGAGAGGGUGGACGGUCACACGGGGACUGAGACACGGACCAGACUCCUACGGGAGGCAGCAGUGGGGAAUAGUGCACAAUGGGCGCAAGCCUGAUGCAGCGACGCCGCGUGAGGGAUGGAGGCCUGCGGGUUGUGAACCUCUUUCGCCAGUGAAGCAGGCCUGCCUCGUUUGUGGGUGGGUUGACGGUAGCUGGAUAAGAAGCGCCGGCUAACUACGUG